rnacentral:rRNA from 1 species
AUACGUAGGGUGCGAGCGUUGUCCGGAAUUACUGGGCGUAAAGAGCUCGUAGGUGGUUUGUCGCGUCGUCUGUGAAAUUCCGGGGCUUAACUCCGGGCGUGCAGGCGAUACGGGCAUAACUUGAGUACUGUAGGGGAGACUGGAAUUCCUGGUGUAGCGGUGAAAUGCGCAGAUAUCAGGAGGAACACCGGUGGCGAAGGGGGGUCUCUGGGCAGUAACGGACGCUGAGGAGCGAAAGCAUGGGUAGCGAACAGGAUUAGAUACCCGGGUAGUCCAUGCCGUAAACGGUGGGCGCUAGGUGUAGGGGUCUUCCACGACUUCUGUGCCGUAGCUAACGCAUUAAGCGCCCCGCCUGGGGAGUACGGCCGCAAGGCUAAAACUCAAAGGAAUUGACGGGG